rnacentral:pre_miRNA from 1 species
GAUUUAAACUGAAAAAGCCAUCAACAACAAAGUUGUAUAACUCAUCAAUAUCUAUAAUUUUUAUUUUGUUCAUUUAUUCAUCCGACAAAGUAAUUUGUAACAUUAUUCAUAAAAUAUAGAUAUCUCUUAUAUAGUUUAUAAACUAUACCAAAGAUAUGUAAAUUUUAUGAAUAAUGUUACUAUCACUUUGUCGGAUGAAGAAAUGAUCAAAAUAAAAGUUAUAGAUAUUGAUAAGUUAUACAAUUUUUUAGAUGACUUUUUUAGUUGAAAUC